UCGCUCACUUUGGCAGCACAUAUACUAAAAUUGGAACGAGAGAAGAUAAGCAUGGCCACUGUGUAAGGAUGACACACAAAUUCGUGAAAUGCUCCAUAUUUUU
ensembl:snRNA U6 U6 spliceosomal RNA